GCCUUCUUAGUGUAGUGGUUAGCACGCUGGACGCGUAUUCCAGAGGCCUCUGGUUCAAAUCCCGGAGAAGGGU
rnacentral:tRNA from 1 species